rnacentral:rRNA from 1 species
CAGUAGCCGCGGGAAUACGGAGGGUGCAAGCGUUAUCCGGAUUUAUUGGGUUUAAAGGGUCCGUAGGCGGAUCUGUAAGUCAGUGGUGAAAUCUCACAGCUUAACUGUGAAACUGCCAUUGAUACUGCAGGUCCUGAGUAAAUUUGAAGUGGCUGGAAUAAGUAGUGUAGCGGUGAAAUGCAUAGAUAUUACUUAGAACACCAAUUGCGAAGGCAGGUCACUAAGAUUUAACUGACGCUGAUGGACGAAAGCGUGGGGAGCGAACAGGAUUAGAUACCCGAGUAGUCCCUGUCUCUUAUAA